AGAGUUUGAUCAUGGCUCAGGAUGAACGCUAGCGGCAGGCCUAAUACAUGCAAGUCGAACGGAUCUGGAGACUUCGGUUUCCAGAUUAGUGGCGCACGGGUGCGUAACGCGUAUGCAACCUACCUUUUAUUGGGGGAUAGCCCGUCGAAAGACGGAUUAAUACCGCAUAACACUAUUUGAGGGCAUCUGAGGAUAGUUAAAGCUGAGGCGAUAAAAGAUGGGCAUGCGUGACAUUAGCUAGUUGGUUGAGGUAACGGCUCACCAAGGCGACGAUGUCUAGGGGUUCUGAGAGGAUGAUCCCCCACACUGGUACUGAGAUACGGACCAGACUCCUACGGGAGGCAGCAGUAGGGAAUAUUGGGCAAUGGACGCAAGUCUGACCCAGCCAUGGCCGCGUGCAGGAUGAAGGCCUUCUGGGUUGUAAACUGCUUUUAUCUGGGAAGAAAACACCUUUGCGAAGGGAACUGACGGUACCAGAUGAAUAAGCACCGGCUAACUCCGUGCCAGCAGCCGCGGUAAUACGGAGGGUGCAAGCGUUGUCCGGAUUUAUUGGGUUUAAAGGGUGCGUAGGCGGCCUUAUAAGUCAGUGGUGAAAGCCCAUCGCUCAACGAUGGAACUGCCAUUGAUACUGUAAGGCUUGAGUACAGACGAGGUAGGCGGAAUUGAUGGUGUAGCGGUGAAAUGCAUAGAUACCAUCAAGAACACCGAUUGCGUAGGCAGCUUACUAGGCUGUAACUGACGCUGAGGCACGAAAGC
rnacentral:rRNA from 1 species